rnacentral:rRNA from 1 species
CAGUCGCCGCGGUAAUACGAAGGGGGCUAGCGUUGCUCGGAAUGACUGGGCGUAGAGGGCGCGUAGGCGGAUUGUUUAGUUAGGCGUGAAAUUCCUGGACUUAACCUGGGGACUGCGCUUAAUACAGGCAGUCUAGAGUGAGGAAGAGGGUUGUGGAAUUCCCAGUGUAGAGGUGAAAUUCGUAGAUAUUGGGAAGAACACCGGUGGCGAAGGCGGCAACCUAGUCCUUGACUGACGCUGAGGCGCGAAAGCGUGGGGAGCAAACAGGAUUAGAUACCCCUGUAGUCCCUGUCUCUUAUAC